GACGAACGCUGGCGGCGUGCUUAACACAUGCAAGUCGAACGAUGAAGCGGGUGCUUGCACUCGUGGAUUAGUGGCGAACGGGCGAGUAACACGUGAGUAACCUGUCCUUUUCUUUGGGAUAACGGCUGGAAACGGCUGCUAAUACUGGAUAUUCAGGCUGCAUCGCAUGGUGUGGUUUGGAAAGGUUUUUUCUGGGAUUGGGUGGGCUCGCGGCCUAUCAGCUUGUUGGUGGGGUGAUGGCUUACCAAGGCUUUGACGGGUAGCCGGCCUGAGAGGGUGGUCGGUCGCACUGGGACUGAGAUACGGCCCAGACUCCUACGGGAGGCAGCAGUGGGGAAUAUUGCACAAUGGACGAAAGUUUGAUGCAGCGACGCCGCGUGGAGGGUGUAGGCCUUCGGGUUGUGAACUCCUUUUUCUCGCGAAAAAGGCACAGUUUUGGCUGUGUUGAUGGUAGAGGGGGAAGAAGCGCCGGCUAACUACGUG
rnacentral:rRNA from 1 species